AGCGAACGCUGGCGGCAGGCCUAACACAUGCAAGUCGAACGAACCCUUCGGGGUUAGUGGCGGACGGGUGAGUAACACGUGGGAACGUACCCUUAGGUUCGGAAUAACUCGGGGAAACUUGAGCUAAUACCGAAUGUGCCCUUCGGGGGAAAGAUUUAUCGCCUUUGGAGCGGCCCGCGUCUGAUUAGCUAGUUGGUGAGGUAAAGGCUCACCAAGGCUACGAUCAGUAGCUGGUCUGAGAGGAUGGCCAGCCACACUGGGACUGAGACACGGCCCAGACUCCUACGGGAGGCAGCAGUGGGGAAUCUUGCGCAAUGGGCGAAAGCCUGACGCAGCCAUGCCGCGUGGAUGAUGAAGGUCUUAGGAUUGUAAAAUUCUUUCACCGGGGACGAUAAUGACGGUACCCGGAGAAGAAGCCCCGGCUAACUUCGUGCCAGCCGCCGCCGUAAAAC
rnacentral:rRNA from 1 species